AAUAUAAAUUAAUAAUCCACUGUUGACGUCAAUUAUAAUAAUAAAUGUAUGUGUUUGCGAUAUUGUUGAGACGCUGUCAAGGUUAUGUUUAUGUUUAUAAUGUGAAAUCUUAAAUAAUUGCAACAUUCGUAUCAUUCUAAGUAGACAAUUCUACACAAUACUAUCUAAAAAUGAGUGACUCUUUAAAAACUUUUAAGGCAACUUGUGGUCGUAACAAAUACAAAUUGACAUUAACUUCAACUCUAAAAUUAAGUGAUCUUAAAAAUGUAAUUUCAAAUGUAACUGGUCUUUCUUAUUAAAAAGAAGAUGGUGAUGAUACUGUAUCGGUUGUUCCUAUGAUAGACGCAUCCUUUAGCUAAUUUCAAUGCUCAAAAAUCAAGAAAACUAAUGGAGAUCGUUAAAGAAUUACCACCAACCCCACCUUCACUAUCAGCAGAAAAUUCAUAUGACAGUGAUGACAGUUAAAUGGGUCCACCAAAAAAAAUUCGUCAAUUGACACAAAAAAAGGAAGCCCCAUGUGGAAAGAAAAUUGUGAACAAAUAUAUUACGAUUAGAUGGAUUCAUUAUUUUUUUGGAAGUGAAAAACCAUACUCAAG